UACGUAGGGGGCGAGCGUUGUCCGGAUUUAUUGGGCGUAAAGGGCUCGUAGGCGGCCAACUAAGUCAGACGUGAAAUCCCUCGGCUUAACCGGGGAACUGCAUCUGAUACUGGAUGGCUUGAGUUCGGGAGAGGGAUGUGGAAUUCCAGGUGUAGCGGUGAAAUGCGUAGAUAUCUGGAGGAACACCGGUGGCGAAGGCGGCAUCCUGGACCGACACUGACGCUGAGGAGCGAAAGCCAGGGGAGCAAACGGG
rnacentral:rRNA from 1 species